GAUGAACGCUAGCGGCAGGCUUAAUACAUGCAAGUCAAGGGGGUAGCAAUACAACCGGCGCACGGGUGAGUAACGCGUGCACAACAUACCAUAUACUGGAGUAUAGCUUUGGGAAACUGAAGGUAAUCCUCCAUAACAUUGCGAGAGGGCAUCUGAUUGCAAUUAAAGUUUCGGCGGUAUAUGAUUGGUGUGCGUUUGAUUAGCUAGUUGGUAGGGUAACGGCCUACCAAGGCGACGAUCAAUAGCUGGCGUGAGAGCGCGACCAGCCACACGUGGAACUGAGACACGGUCCAGACUCCGUACGGGAGGCAGCA
rnacentral:rRNA from 1 species